CGGUUACGGGGGAUUAGGGUUCGAUUCCGGAGAGGGAGCCUGAGAAACGGCUACCACAUCUAAGGAAGGCAGCAGGCGCGCAAAUUACCCAAUUCUAACAGCAUAAGAGAGGUAGUGACAAGAAAUAACAAUACAAGGCAUUUAAAAUGCUUUGUAAUUGGAAUGAUAGAAAUUUAAACACUUUUUAAAGUAUCAAUUGGAGGGCAAGUCUGGUGCCAGCAGCCGCGGUAAUUCCAGCUCCAAUAGCGUAUAUUAAAAUUGUUGCAGUUAAAAAGCUCGUAGUUGAAUUUCUGCUAAAAAUAACCGGUCUGCUUUUAACAAAAGUGGUAUCUUGGUGUGUUUUUAGCAAUAAUGUCCUUUGAAAUGUGUUUUACUUUGUUGUAAAAGAUAAUAUUCAGGAUUUUUACUUUGAGAAAAUUAKAGUGUUUCUAGCAGGCUAAUGUUUUGAAUACUGCAGCAUGGAAUAAUAAAAUAUGAUUUUGGUUCUACAUUGUUGGUUUUAAGAG
rnacentral:rRNA from 1 species